AAAGCCUGACGCAGCGACGCCGCGUGAGGGAUGAAGGUUUUCGGAUCGUAAACCUCUGUCAGAAGGGAAGAAACCGCACCGUGCUAAUCAGCGGUGCCUUGACGGUACCUUCAAAGGAAGCACCGGCUAACUCCGUGCCAGCAGCCGCGGUAAUACGAAGGGGGCUAGCGUUGUUCGGAAUUACUGGGCGUAAAGCGCACGUAGGCUGACUUUUAAGUCAGGGGUGAAAUCCCGGGGCUCAACCUCGGAACUGCCUUUGAUACUGGAAGUCUUGAGUCCGAGAGAGGUGAGUGGAACUCCGAGUGUAGAGGUGAAAUUCGUAGAUAUUCGGAAGAACACCAGUGGCGAAGGCGGCUCACUGGCUCGGUACUGACGCUGAGGUGAGAAAGCGUGGGGAGCAAACA
rnacentral:rRNA from 1 species